rnacentral:rRNA from 1 species
GACCGUAAGGACAUGUGGACAGUAUGGGAGUGAGAAUGUUGGCAUGAGUAGCGAGAUGUGGGUGAGAAUCCCACAGGCCGUAAACCCAAGGUUUCCAGGGGAAGGUUCGUCCGCCCUGGGUUAGUCGGGACCUAAGCUGAGGCCGACAGGCGUAGGUGAUGGACAACAGGUUGAUAUUCCUGUACUACCGAUAACCGUUUGAGAGAAGGGAUGACACAGUAGGAUAAGCUAAGCACACUGUUGGUUAUGGGUGCCCAAGCAUUGAGGCAGGCAAAGUAGGCAAAUCCGCUUUGAUAAUGCUGGGAUGUGAUGGGGAGCGAAAUUUAGUAGCGAAGUAGCUGAUUUCACACUGUCAAGAAAAGUCUCUAUCGAGGUUAAAGGUACCCGUACCGCAAACCGACACAGGUG